ACGAGAGGUGGAAGAAAUAGAGAGAAAUGAGGGCUCUUACUAGUCACAAAUGGCUGAGUGUAGCACGUGGUUGUGCUGAGAAUCUUAGCAUUAGAUUCUAAGCCACAAAGCUGUGGAGUCCUUGACUAGAGGCAAACACCUGAGGAGUUUGUCUUCCCAACUGGCCCAGCAUCUCCCUGAAGAUGGUCAUCCACCAUCCUGAAGCCGUCCAACACAGUGAGGAGUGAGAAGACCCACCCUGGGCUUGGACCACAGCCUGUCUUCCUCACACGUGGUCCCAUGGUGACCUUUAUCCAUCGCUCAAGACUGUAGACUGGGGCAGCUGUUGAGUUCUGUAAAAACAGCUUCCUACCCAAUGUCACCAACUCCAAGCCUGCUUGGGACCAAGAAGAAAAUUAUCCCUUGUUAUGGCACAAACUCCCAGGAAGUGGUGAUGUCUGCAUUUUCAUCUGUUUAGGGAACUGAAGAGAUGGCUCAAC
rnacentral:lncRNA from 1 species